AGAGAGAGAGAUGGCGGUGGGGUAGUAAAGACAGAAAUGGCCCACUCUGAUCUGUCUUGGCCUUGGUUGGGGGACGGGCAACAGGUUUACAAUCCUAGGAUCCGAGCAGAAUUCCAAGUGUUGAGGCCAAUCAGCAAGUGUCAGGCAGAGGCAAGACGACUGCGAGCUAAAGGGUUCCCACCAGGUCUUUUUCCCCUCAGGAUCCUGCCUCUGCCUGUAUCCUAAGUCCUUCUUAGAACUAGAAGCUCCACCAUUGCCCCAACCCAGGGUGUGUGAGGAGAAUCUGAGCUCCCUGGUGUUACUACUAAAAAGGAGACAGAUUGCAGAGCCAGGGGAGUGUCACUUCCUGGACCAGCCUGCUCCAGAAGCAUUGAUGCAAGCCCUGGAAGAUUUAGACUAUCUGGCAGCCCUGGAUGAUGAUGGGGACCUGUCGGAUCUGGGUGUCAUACUAUCAGAGUUCCCUCUGGCCCCUGAGCUGGCCAAAGCCCUGCUGGCCUCAUGCGAGUUUGACUGUGUGGACGAGAUGCUCACCCUGGCUGCCAUGCUCACAGCUGCCCCUGGGUUUACCCGUCCUCCACUCAGUGCAGAAGAAGCUGCCCUGCGUCGGGCCCUGGAACACACAGAUGGUGACCACAGUUCUCUGAUCCAGGUGUAUGAAGCCUUUAUACAAAGUGGAGCAGAUGAGGCUUGGUGCCAGGCUCGAGGUCUGAAUUGGGCAGCAUUGUGCCAAGCCCAUAAACUUCGGGGAGAACUCCUAGAACUCAUGCAACGAAUUGAACUUCCCUUGUCCCUACCAGCCUUUGGCUCUGAGCAGAAUCGCAGAGACCUUCAG
rnacentral:sRNA from 1 species